rnacentral:rRNA from 1 species
UACGAAGGGGGCUAGCGUUGCUCGGAAUCACUGGGCGUAAAGCGCACGUAGGCGGACUCUUAAGUCAGGGGUGAAAUCCUGGAGCUCAACUCCAGAACUGCCUUUGAUACUGGGAGUCUUGAGUUCGGGAGAGGUGAGUGGAACUGCGAGUGUAGAGGUGAAAUUCGUAGAUAUUCGCAAGAACACCAGUGGCGGAGGCGGCCCACUGGCCCGAUACUGACGCUGGGGUGCGAAAGCGUGGGGAGCAAACAGG